CUUGGCACUGCUGGCUGUUAUCAUCCCACUGGUAUGAGUGGAUUUAUUGACAGAGCCAAGGGCUGAUAUCCCGUUGGCUUGUUGUAAGCAUGACUCAGGACCAGUCCUCGCCCGUCUUGGCCCCCAGGUCACCCCACAUCAACAAGCAGAAGAUGGGAACUAAAUGACGAACUCUGCUGUUCAGUUCUGGAGCGUUUUUGAAGGUCAUUGCCUGAUGGAAGCAGCACCCAGGAAAGAACGCUGGAAUCCCACUCUGGAAAAGUUGGACAUAGUUUAGAAGCAGACUGGAGCCCAAGCCUCGACCCAACCCCUUGCAAGAACCACUGAAGGUCAGACUCAUCGGGGCCAGCUCAAUCUGAAGUAAUGUAAAACCAUGAAGGC
rnacentral:lncRNA from 1 species